CGCCUUACAUGGCUACACUAGGAUAUGCAUCACUGUGACGACUGCCUGCGGAUGAUGCAGUGGUGGACUGGCACCAGGCUGGAGCAGAGUGAUUACAAGAGUGCUGACGUCAAUGCCAAUGACAGCAGCAAGAGCACCUUGCUGCAUUACGCUGCCAUGGCCGACAUGAAGAGCUGCGUGGAGGUGAAAACGCUUUGGUGGGUUAGACCAAGAAAGCAGAGCGACACAACGUAGACAUGACACUGUAAUGUGAUCUUCACUGCUACAUGUCAUGACUGCGAGUACCUUGUGAUAUUUCAAAAUCACGUUGUUGAAAACUUGAUGUGACAUGAAUGUUACAUGUGAGGUGUCCGCCUGUGGAGUGUUAUCAUGUUUUCUUUACUUUAGCAUCAUAUAGUCUCACAUUAAGGAACCUUUGACUUAGGAGUCAUAGUGGGAUUCAGUGCCCUAUCACGUUUCCAAAAUUAUUGUUGGCUGGGUGGCCAAGACUAACAAAAGCAAGGACACAGUGUCAUCUUGGAGAAGUACCAAUAUGACACAGUACCAUUGUAGCUUUCCCAGUAGCACCACCUAGAGGAGAAUACUGCUUUCUAAUGAGAGAGUUAAAAUUCCAUUCAGUGAGGUGUUUUUCAUCAAAAAAGGUUUCCAUUUACCAUAAAAUGCAUUGAUCAUACCUGUGUUGCUGAGGUUUGGUGAGGAGCAAAGCAGACUUAUUUGUGGAGAAUGAGGACCAUCUGACCCUGUGUGACUGCACUGAGAGGCAACAUUAUAAGGAGCUGGCUCUCAGUCUGGAGUCUCAGACGGUGUUCUCCCAGGACCCUGCUGGGGACCGCUGAGAGCUGUAUGAGGAGCUGAAGCUUCAGGAUCUGUGGCAUAUGAAGAACAUGCUGAUCAUGGAGACAACAGACAUGCUCCAGACCCCUCUUUUCUGGGCUGAGGCACCUGCGUGCUCAUGGCUUUUAUGGAGAACAACCCAGCCAUCCACUGGUGCCACGUGGCAAAGUGUGAGAGAGCGGUUCGCCUUUGUAGGCGUAGCCUGGCUGCCUUCAACCUGCUGGGAUUUAUGCACCUCUCCACUCCCACUGUGGACUGUUCAAUCUUUUCUGCUGGUGGGGAUCUCAGCUACAAGGAUUCCCAUUGCCAUUUCCUUUGACAUUUUAGUCUCUCUUAGUUGUUGAUUUGUCUUUGCGUGAGGUUUUUUUAACAUGAGUGGGCCACAAGGUCCCAUUGAGUGUCUAAAGAUGCUGAAGAGUCACUCAGUACUGGGAGGGAGAGAACACAGGGAAAGCCGAGAGUUUGAGACCAGCAGCAGGUACUGCAGAUAACACCAUCAACAAAGAAAGAAAACAAAAGAUUAAUUUCUGUCCAAUUAUUUGUAAUUAUAUUAAUUCACCACAUUCACAAGAAAAAUAUCAUUCACAUUUUCUCUGUAUUUGUCCAUCGGUUUUUACACAAUGUUAUCAGGACUUCAUGGUUCCAUUUCAUCAUUUUAUUAAACUGAAGAAAUUUCAUCUUAGCAAGUCUCAGAUUAUGAGCCAUUUCAGUCAAUUGUACAUGAAUCCUCUUAUAAUUAAGUCCACUUCCAUAUGAUUUACUACUUAGGUUAAGUUCUUUACUAUUCCUUAGAGUGAUGCACUAAAAUUACACUUCUUGGCCAAAAAGAAGCCAAAAUUCACAACAUUUGAAAACCAAGAAAAUUGAAAUUGAAAACCA